AGUUCCGUAGGGUAGUGGCCAAUCCUGUUGCCUUCUGGGGGCAACGACGGAGGUUCGAAUCCUCCCGGAACUA
rnacentral:tRNA from 1 species